rnacentral:lncRNA from 1 species
GUGGUGAGGGUUGGUACCAGUGUUAUAGGGGCACACUGAGCCGGACUGGAGAAAGAUACGAAGCAAAGGGGGCUGUUUUGACAGAAUAAGGGAGGCAGUGCCUUCACCAGUCAAGUUACAAGCCUGAUAUUUCUCCUGGUCUCAGGAGUGUCACACCCACCAGGUUCUAUAAAGGACACGGCAGAGUUUUAUAAUUGUACAUGUAACCCACCCACACGAAGUGUGGAUACCUGAUGAAGAGUGUGUGUGUGUGUGUGCGUGUGUGUACGUGUGUGUGUGCAUCUAUACAUAUAGAAAUGUAUGCAACUAUGUAUGGUGUGCAGUUACAGUGUGCAUGGGGUGCAGUUACAGUAUGCAUGGGGUGCAGUUACAGUAUGCAUGGUGUGUAGUUACAGUAUGUAUGGGGUGUAGUUACAGUAAUUAUGGUUUACAGUAUGUAUGGUGUAGUUACAGUAUGUAUGGUGUGUAGUUACAGUAUGUAUGGGGUGUAGUUACAGUAUGUAUGGGGUGUAGUUACAGUAUGUAUGGGGUGUAGUAUGUAUGGUGUAGUUACAGUAUGUAUGGGGUGUAGUUACAGUAUGUAUGGGGUGUAGUUACAGUAAUUCUUGUGGAGUGAUGGUGUGAGUAUGUAUAUGGGGGUGGUUACAGUAUGUAUGGGGUGUAGUUACAGUAAUUAUGGUGUGUAUGUAUGUAUGGUGUAGUUACAGUAUGUAUGGGGUGUAGUUACAGUAAUUAUGGUGUGUAUUAUGUAUGGUGUAGUUACAGUAUGUAUGGGGUGUAGUUACAGUAAUUAUGGUGUGUGCUUCCAAGGCUGAGUGUGCUAGUUAAUACAGUAGUGUUGCAUUCAGAAAGACCUGGGUUCGGUUUAGUAGCUAUAAGAAUUUAUAUUUUCUUAAAAAAAAACAUGAAGAAAAAAACACCGUAUAAUAAUAACAAUAAUAAUGAUAAAACCCACCAUAUAAUAAUAACAAUAAUAAUUUAAAAAGUGCUUCCGUCAGUCCCAUCUAAGAAAUCAGGAAACACAAGAAAGUGUACUAAAAGAGUACUAAAACACUUUUACUUUAAUAAAAAGUCCUGAUUUGUGUUGCUAGUUAGUGUACAAUCAGCUGCUUUGAAGUGGGU